AAAGAAACUAACAAGGAUUCCCUUAGUAACUGCGAGUGAAGAGGGAAGAGCUCAAAUUUAAAAUCUGGCAGUGUCUUGCUGUCCGAGUUGUAAUCUAGAGAAGUGCUGCCCGUGCUGGACCAUGUACAAGUCUCCUGGAAUGGAGCGUCACAGAGGGUGAGAAUCCCGUCUUUGACAUGGACUACCAGUGCAUUUGUGGUGUGCUCUCAAAGAGUCGAGUUGUUUGGGAAUGCAGCUCUAAAUGGGUGGUAAACUCCAUCUAAAGCUAAAUAUUGGCGAGAGACCGAUAGCGAACAAGUACCGUGAGGGAAAGAUGAAAAGAACUUUGGAAAGAGAGUUAAACAGUAUGUGAAAUUGUUGAAAGGGAAACGCUUAAAGUCAGUCGUGUCGGCCAGGGAUCAACUCAGUUUUCUUUGCUGGGUGUACUUCCUGAUCUGAUGGGCCAACAUCAGUUUUGACUGCUGGAGAAGGAUAGAGGGAAUGUGGCACCUUUGGGUGUGUUAUAGCUCUCUGUCAGAUGCAGUGGUUGGGACUGAGGAUUGCAGCAUGCCGCAAGGCCGGGUCGUUUCGACCACGUUCAUGCUGAGGAUGUUGGCAUAAUGGCUUUAAUCGACCCGUCUUGA
rnacentral:rRNA from 1 species